rnacentral:lncRNA from 10 species
GCCAAUGUUGUUUGGAGGUCGUUUAUCACUUCACAGCUCUCAUUCACAGUCAAGUCAUGUGGAACUACACAACUUCCUUUUUGUGCAUUGGAGCUGGAAAUCUCGUUGAGUUUGGGAGGCCUUACUUCUGCAUAUUUGAAUCUGGUGACCAAAUUAAACAUUGUUCUAACUGCAGUUACCAUCCUCAAAUACAAAAGUAAUUGAUACUCAGCAAUGAAAGCUGCAUGUGCAUGUAGGGGAGAGAAGGAGGUUUCACCAGACUGACAAAUGGAGUCAUGGUUCUGGGAAGGAGCAGGGUGUUGGGUGCACAUUUGUCACCUGGGAAUACUACCAGCAAGCCUCAUAUUUUUUCUGCAAUAAAUGCUGGAAAGGAAAAAGAAAUGCUGAAAAUGAUGAAGUAAUUCCAAUUCUGCUGAUAGAGACCUGGAAAUGCACUAGGGAAAAAUGACAAGAGUGUAACACACUGCUGCUGAUUAUGUCAUAAUGAUUAUUUUAUGCAGUUUGAAGAAGACUCACUGUUCUAAAGAACCAGCAUCCAUUUCCAGGAAAGAGCAGGGAUUCUCCAUCCAUACCUCCAUGGGAUGAACCACAUUGAAAAUAAUGAUUUCCUUCUAAUAGCUUACUCUACAUUAUAUAAAGAAUUCCUUGGGAUUCUAAAAAAACCCUAAUAAUAUAGUAAUAAUAACAACAGAGGUUUGUUUUUGCUAUUUGUAGUCUAAUAUUCAGAUUGUGAGCAGCUGUUUUGGAAGGCAAGAUGAGUGAAUAGAUGUGAAGUCGUCUUAGAAAUGUCCAGGCUUCCAAAAGAAAUUUCACUUUUAAAAGAAAAUAGCCUAAUGUGAACCACAUUAGAAUCAGCACAUCUAAUCCUACGGAGAAAAAGUGACCAUGGCUGUCUACACAUAUAGGCAGGUCAUUCAAGCUCAUUCAAAAAUUCCACUUUCACUGGUGGUCUGUCUGUGUCCACAUGGUGACAAAUGGCCCCGGCAGGGUUUUUGAGGUGUUGGCACCACCAGUGAGUGCCAGAUGGAAUGUGGUGAAAGUUCUGAUUUGUACCUUUCAGACUAAAGGUACUUUCCAGAAUGGACGGGUCCUUCUGGCUGCCUUUUGUAAGUGCAGCCACAGGUAUUCUGUUGAAGCCUGUGGGUGAGAAAGACAUAAACAGGUGCUAUAAAUUUGUCAGACCAGGAAGCCACAGGCCGUUUAGUAAAUGGUAAACCCAAUGGCCCAAAAGAACAAAGGGGUCUCUUUUCAUCAGAAUGAUCAGGCUCAUUCAACAAAUAUUUAUUGAGCACCCACUUUCUGCCAGAUGGAAGAGCCACUGACAAGGCCUCUUAUUUAAAGAGUGCCUGAAGUGAGGAAGCAAACCCCCAAAUCAUCUGGGAUGGUAUGAACUGAACUCUGGACCGCAACAUGAUGGAAAGGAGGAGCUGGGGUCCCAAGGGCAGUCCAGACAACCUGAACCUGUGACACUCACCCUGCCCACACACUCUCAGAGCUGCAGCUUUCACGGGGGUGACAUGAAUGCUUGUAAAUGAGCUUGCUGAAUGGGAGACCAAGAACGAUGAUAUUGAGCUGUUACUACAUGCCAGACAUUUAACCCUUUCAUCCAGGUUAUCUCAAUCAUUCCUUACAGAAAGGCUUUUGAGAUGUCCUUGCAACUGGAGGUGCCAUAUGAUACAGUUCUGCCCAAAGACAAGAAAGUGAAUGUCUGUUGAGGGCUUCCUAUAAGGCCAAUACAUACAGGUGUUCCCAACAACAGAUGCUUCUGGACUUGUUAUCCUGUGUCAUUUCUACCUGGUGCCAGUUUUUGACAAAUGAUAGUAGCAAGUUGUGGACACAGCAAGAAGAUGGCUGUCUAUGAACCUGAAUAUGUCUAGCCCUCACCAGACACUGAAUCUGAGAGAACCUUGAUCUUGGAUUUCCAGCCUCCAGAGUUGUGAGAGCUAAAUUUCUGUUGUUUGUAAACCACCCAGUCUAUGGUAUUCUGUUACAGCAGCCUGAACAGGCUAAUAUAAAGACAAUAAGGAGAAUUUGCUAGCAAGAUGGAAGCCACAAUCUUUUGUAACCUAAUCACAGAAGUGACAGCCUAUCACUUUUGCCUUAUUGUGUUUAUUAGAAGCAAGUCACUAGGUCUAGCCUACCCUCAGGGGAAAGAAAUUCCACCAGGGCACAAAUGCCAGGAGAUGGGUAUCAGUGGAGACCAUCUGAGAAGUCUGCCUACUAAGGCUUUCCAUGUCUACCUCCGAACAAGGGAAUCUAUCAUGAUUAUUGCAUGUGCCCUGAGCACUGGGUUUAGAUGACAUUAAGCAGAAUCAAGGUAAUUGUUCAGGAAACCUUCAGCGGGAGAGUCUGCCCUGUGUCUAGUUUCUCUUUUGCUUCAGAAAAUACUUACUUGAAUUGUUUCUAACUUAAUAAUACUUUGUGUUACCUGAGGGUCUCUAAAGGCUUGGUAAGCAUCAGAACAAAAAAUUUCUUCUCCACUUUCUAGGAGUUCUUAGAUCAUUAUUUUGCUGGUACAGUAACUGGCUCUCCUAAUCCACUGUGAAGCUUGCUUAUUUACUGUGCGGAUGGUUUGGACCAUCAAAAGUGUAGAGUUAAAAUAACCAGGGGAGAGAAUAUUAGACCCAGAAUCAAAGUAGCCUAAAGUUACCUCUUUAGGUACCUUGUUUCUCCCAUGUGCAAACUGUAAGCUCAAGUGUCUUUUCUCAGGUGGUCACAAUGUAGUUUGAGACUAGAGGGAUUGUGGAUGAAGAUGCUCUGAGUUAUUUAGAAGAGAUGCACUACAUC